CAUUACAAACAGGUGAAUUGAAAACCAACAGGUGUCGUAAGAAAAAAUAAAUAUUUAAAUUAAUUCUUUAAGACGUUCAUAUCAAUGGAAUUCCAAACAUUAAAUAACACCAAGUUGAAUUAAUUGAAAAGAUGACCAUGUCGCCGUUAAUUAAGAGAGAUUCAUAAUGGAAAAGACGAUUAUUCUUCUUUUUCCCAAGCGUGGGAUCGUAAAAAAAAUAUAUUUAUAGUUUUAAGCAAUAUAUUUCAUGUUUUAUGCGCAAUUUAAUCCAAUGAAAUAAAAAGUUUUUUAUUCAUGUGAAAAAUA